rfam:Camelus ferus unplaced genomic scaffold scaffold668, whole genome shotgun sequence.
CUCCAGUCUUGGUCUGUGUGUACCUAGCUCCUGUAAGGGGCUGCACCGACCCUCCCCUUGCCAGAAGUCCUGGCUUGGUUACUGUCUUCAUCCUCUGCCAAUGGACAUCAC